UGCCUGCGACGGGAAUCUGCCCACU
rnacentral:piRNA from 1 species